rnacentral:lncRNA from 1 species
CUCCUUCAAAAGAUGCUAUUAAGAAAUCUAUUCUUCUUUCAGUACUUUCCUAUGUAUCAUCUUUAUUAUAUAAAAAGAAUAAUAUCAUUGAGUCUGACCAAAUUAAUAAAUCUUUUUUAAUAUCUAUUUUACAAUUUAAAUCUAACUUUGUUCCUCCAUGAUUAAUUGGUUUAUCAUAAUUAUCAUUUAAUUCAAAUCUAUCUUUAUAUUUAUUUCCUUUAGAUGGUUGCCUAUCUUUUACUUUAUCAUAGAUUUGUCUAUAUGAUUUAUUAUAUAUGAGU